UACUUUAACGCUAUAUAUUUAAAUAUCUGGUCAGAUCUGGAAAGAAGCAGCCAAAUUAAAUUUUAUAGGUGUUAAAAAAACCUC
rnacentral:SRP_RNA from 1 species